rnacentral:rRNA from 1 species
AUUGAACGCUGGCGGCAGGCCUAACACAUGCAAGUCGAGCGCGAAAGGGUUUCGGCCUGAGUAGAGCGGCGAACGGGUGAGUAACGCGUGGGAAUCUGCCUGGUAAUGGGGGACAACAUCUCGAAAGGGAUGCUAAUACCGCAUACGCCCUACGGGGGAAAGUGGGGGAUCUUCGGACCUAACGUUAGCAGAUGAGCCCGCGUCGGAUUCGCUAGUAGGUAGGGUAAAGGCCUACCUAGGCGACGAUCCGUAACUGGUCUGAGAGGAUGAUCAGUCACACUGGAACUGAGACACGAUCCAGACUCCUACGGGAGGCAGCAGUGGGGAAUAUUGGACAAUGGGGGCAACCCUGAUCCAGCCAUGCCGCGUGUGUGAAGAAGGCCUUCGGGUUGUAAAGCACUUUAAGUUGGGAGGAAGGCUUGAUGGUUAAUAACCAUCAGGAUUGACGUUACCAACAGAAUAAGCACCGGCUAACUCCGUGCCAGCCGCCGCCGUAACAC